GUUCGCCUACGGGGGGCAGCAGUGAGGAAUAUUGGUCAAUGGGCGGGAGCCUGAACCAGCCAAGUCGCGUGAAGGAAGAAGGUACUUAGUAUUGUAAACUUCUUUUGUCGGGGAACAAAGGCGGAGACGCGUCUCCGGAUGAAUGUACCCGAAGAAAAAGCAUCGGCUAACUCCGUGCCAGCAGCCGCGGUAAUACGGAGGAUGCGAGCGUUAUCCGGAUUUAUUGGGUUUACAGGGUGCGCAGGCGGGUGAUCAAGCCAGC
rnacentral:rRNA from 1 species